rnacentral:lncRNA from 10 species
AAUUUUUCUGUAUUUCUAAAUUUUAUUACAUUAUGGUAAGAACUACCAUCCUAUGGUGAGAUCUACCAUCCUAACACACAUUUAAAUGUACAAUGUAUUACGGCUGAUUCUAAGUACAAUGUUUACAGCAGAUCUCUGGAGCUUAUUCAUCUUGCUUAACUGAAACUUUAUGUCCACUGAUUAGUAACUCCCCAUUUCUCCCUUCUCCCCACUUCAGGCAACCACUAUUUCACUCUUCGAAUCUAUGAAAUUGACCAUUUUUGAUAUCUCAUAUUGGAGGUUUGUGGCAACCCUGUAUCAAGUAAGUCCACUGUUGCCAUUUUUCCAACAGCACACGCUAACUUCAUGUCUCUGUCACAGUUUAGUAAUUCUUAGAAUAGUUUAAUCUUUUUCAUUAUUAUUACAUCUGUUAUAGUGAUCAUUAUAUCUGAUACAGUGAAUAUAGUGAUAUCAUACUGUUAUAUUCAGUGGUCCCUGAAGCUGGCAGAGGUUGGCUCAUGAGGUGUAAGGAAAAAAGGCAUCUCUAUAACAUAAAAGUGCAAGGUGAAGCAGCAAGUGCUGAUGUAGAAGCUGCAGCAAGUUAUCCAGAAGAUGUAGCUAAGAUCACUGGUGAAGGCCACUAUAAUAAACAACAGAUUUUCAAUGUAGAGAAAACAGCCUUGUAUUUGAAGACAAUUUUAUCUAGGACUUUCAUAGCUAAAAAGGAGAAGUUAUUGCCUGCUUCAAAGCUUCAAAGGACAGGCUGACUUUCUUCUUAGUAGCUAAUGCACUUGGUGACUUUAAGUGGAAGCCAGUGCUCUUUUACCAUUCCAAAAAUCUCAGGGUCCUUAAGAAUUAUGCUAAAUCUACUCUGCUUAUGCUCUGCAAAUGAACCAACAAAGCCUGGAUGACAGCACAUCUGUUUACAGCAUGGUUUACUGAAUAUUUUGAGCCCACUAUUGAAACAUAUGUUAAAAAAAAAUUAUUGCUCACUGACAAUGUAGGUAGUCGCCCAAGAGCUCUGAUGGAGAUUUACAAGGAGAUUAAUGUGUUUUCAUGCCUGCUAACACAACUUGCAUUUUGUAGCACAUGGAUCAAGAACUAAUUGUGACUUUCAAGUCUUAUUAAUUAUUUAAGAAACACAUUUGGUAAGACUAUAGCUGCUAUAAAUUGUGAUUCCUCUUACUGAUCUGGGAAAACCCAACUGAAAACCUUCUAGAAAGAUCCACAAUUCUAUAUACCAUUACAAACAUUCGUGAUUCAUGGGAAAAGACAAAAAUAUCGACAUUAUCGGGAAUUUGGAAGAAGUUGAUUUCAACCCUUGUGGAUGGCUUUGAGGGGUUCUAGCAUUCAGUGGAGGAUGUAACAGCAGAUGUGGAUGUGGUGGAAACAGCAAGAGAACUAGAAGUGGACACUGAAGAUGGGCUGAAUUGCUACAAUCUCAUGAUAAAACUUGAACAAAUGAGGAGUUGCUUCUUACGGAUGAGCAAAGAAAGUGGUUUCUUGAGAUGGAAUCUACUCCUGGUAAAGAUGUUGUGAACAUUCUUCAAGUGACCCAAAGGAUAUAGAAUAUUAGAUGAACUUAUUUGAUAAAGCAGUGCCAGGGUUUGAGAGAAAUGACUCCAAGUUUUAAAAGUUCUGUGUGGGUAAAAUGCUAUCAAAUAGCACUGCAUACUACAGAGAAAUCUUUUGUGAAAGGAAGAGUCAGUCAAUGCAGCCAGCUUCAUUGUUGUCCUAUUUUAAGAAAUUGCCAUAGCCAUCCAACCCUCAGCAACCACCACUUUAAUCAGUCAGCAGCCAUCAACAUUAAGGCAAGACCCUCCACCAGCAAAAAUACAAAGACUUGCUGAAGUCUUAGAUGAUCGUUAGUGUUUGUUAUACAUUUUGUGAAUUAAAGAAUAGAGUAUUCUUUAAUUAAGGUAUGUACUUUUUUUAGACAAAGUGCUAUCACACAAUUAAGAGACUACAGUAUAUAGUAAACAUAACUUUUAUACACAAUGGGAAAACAAAAAACUUGUGUGACUCACUUAAUUGCAAUUUUCACUCUAUUGUGGUUGUGGUGAUCUGGAACCAAACCCUCAGCAUCUUUGAGGUAUGCCUGUGUGUGUGCGCACAACUUGACCCUGAGUUAACUGUCUUAUUCUUCUCUUUUAUUUCUUAGCAAAUUUGCCAUGAUUUAAAAAAGAAAAACAGCUUAUAUUUAUAUUCCUACUUCCUCAUUCCUCAUUUACUUCUCAACCAUCUGUUGGCUUUUGCUCAUAUCACUUUAUGUAAGAGAGGUCAUGCCAAAGCUAUAUACAUGGUUCCUUGUUCCUGGAGGGGAUAUCCAUUUGAAACAGAUAUAAAUAUGUGUGGAUAUAUAUAUAUGUAUGUAUGUAUGUAUGUAUGCAGGCUUUUAUAUAUGUAUUACUGUGUAUCACAGAACUUUGUUAUAGCCUCUGAAGUUAGAAAAACAAACAAUAUAAUAUGCAGUUCCAAGAAUAUUUUAAUUUUUAUGUUAGAGACAAAAUUAAAUGAAACAUCACCACAACUGAAUGUUAACUACUUAAUUUUCACAAUUGCCUUGGCAUUAAUAAAGGUUAUAUGUUUUCAGGAAAAAUGUGUGUGUCCUUAAAACACAGCAUCAGUAUGUUAGCAGACAAAGAGCAGGACUGUUGAAGUUGAAUAUAACUUGAUUUAUUAGUUUUAUAAAAGUACAUGUGAUAUGAAUCUUUUUAUCAUGUGGUUUAUCUUGUCAUGAAAUGCAACCUUUGUUUAAAAAGUUGAGCUCCUGUAAAAGGUGACUGGAAUGAGAAGCUGUAUUUCAAGAUAAUGAUAUUUAGAUUGGACAUUUUUAGGAUCCAUACAUAGAAAAGAAGCUUUAAACCCAUAAAUUCUUCACUAAUUCAACCAACUGAACAAUUUGUGAAAAUAGUGGAUGGAAUACAUUUACUUUCCUUAUAACAUAAAACUUUGUGUGUUUAAAAAAAAGAAAAAGAUCAAAUUAAUGAUAUGCCUCCAAGACACUAUGUGUUAAUCCUGGAUGUAUAGAGAAUUCCGAAACAGGAAAAAAAAAAACAAAAAACACCACAUUUCUGAAUUUACAUGAAAGCAACUUGUUCUUAUUUAUAUACUUUUAGUUAAAUCCACCUGAAAAAACCUUUAUACUCUUUUAAAAUCGGAUAUAUCUCAUGCACAAAUUUGAACACAGAAUGUAAAAUUCAUUGCCAUCUUUGAGUCAAAAACUUUUCAUUUUUGAAAUAAAGUAUGUA